rnacentral:lncRNA from 1 species
UUCAGGGCUCUAAGGCCCCCGAAUGUGCCUCCCUGCAGACCGCGAGCGGAGCCCCCGCACCCCCGGGGCUGGCCCCUGGCCUCCCGCCCCAGCCCGGCCGGCGGCCCCUCCCUGCUCCGCUGUCCGCCUUGGGUACAGAAGCGGCGAGUGGCCCCUUUCCAGGAGGCCUGUUUACCAGCACGACAACGGCAAAUUAGUGCGCUUAAGAGGCAUUCGGCGUUUAUCCCGGCAAACAUGCGCAGCGUGAAGGGGGCCUGCGAGGCCUGCUCCCCGGAAUCUGCUGAAAUGGGGUCUGCUGUGCAUCUUAAUCGACUUACUUCCACCCAUCACAUUAAAC